GACAGGAAGGAAACAUUAACAGCAACAGAACAGCACAUAAUAAGUCAGCUCGAACAUUUAAAAGAAGAGGUGGCUGUGAUCAAACAGCUUUUAUUGUCUUUGACAAAUCGCAGCUCUCCAGCUGCAGUCCUAUCAGAGGGCAUCCGUUUGCAACUGAGCAACAUGAAGGACCUCGGAAGAGUCGAAAAUAGGCUUAAGGAGGAGGCCUGCUACAGUGAAAUGGCAAAGUAUCUGGCAACAGUUGGGGGUCCCAACCCAUCUGCCAGCACAAGACGCAUCCUUGUG